rnacentral:rRNA from 1 species
CGGACGGGUGAGUAAUGUCUGGGAAACUGCCUGAUGGAGGGGGAUAACUACUGGAAACGGUAGCUAAUACCGCAUAACGUCGCAAGACCAAAGAGGGGGACCUUCGGGCCUCUUGCCAUCGGAUGUGCCCAGAUGGGAUUAGCUAGUAGGCGGGGUAACGGCUCACCUAGGCGACGAUCCCUAGCUGGUCUGAGAGGAUGACCAGCCACACUGGAACUGAGACACGGUCCAG